rnacentral:lncRNA from 1 species
AGAGCUUUCUAGACCUGGAAUGUUAACUCCUUAACUGGUUAACAAGGCAACAAGUGCUAAUGCCCAAGAUGGUGACAUUUUAAGGGGCCUACUAAAUGGAGCCAGUUUGCCAUAGAUCUGUCAACAUUACAAAUAUCAAAAGUUUGGGAACCAUUCUUUUGCCAGAAGGCUUAGGAAUUAAAGUUGCCAUUUAGUUUUUGGCCAGGGAAAUGGAAUAAAAUUUUUGAAUUGGAAUUUAGUAAUUUCAUAUUUUAUCACUAUUCUGAAUCAAAAAUAAUCUAUUGCUAGUAAAUGUCCAUAAAAAUAUUAAGUACCUAGGUUCUUUUAUGUGGUUUACUUAUUUAAAAGUAUGCAGCCAGAAAUAACAAAUACUUAUUUAUGUUUUAUUUAUAUCCCAGGUGUGUAGCUUUUUGCCUGCAUUAUCUUAUGUACCAGCUACUGACCCUCUGGCCACUUAGAAUCCUUGAAAAGUCAUUUUGUCCCCAAAUCUACUUAACUGAGACAUGUUAUCUGAUGUGUAUUUUGUAGUUAAUUAUUCUCAAAUAAUAUUAGUGAUCAUAACAUAGAAUAAAUAAAUGUGAUUAUGUGAGGUAAUGAAAAGCCUUGAAAGAAAAUCGUUUUUUAAACAUGUUAGCUUUACUCUUGGUAAGCAUUUUAGAUUUAAUUCAUGUGGCACAAAGCCAUAGUAUCGUAGCUAUUUCUGUACACUGAAAUGAAUGAAAUCCUUCAUUUCUGUAUUUCAAAGGAUGAGUCAAACUGGAUCUAAUAAAGGAUGUGACACCAUAAUCUUUCAGACUUCAACUCAAAUUCUAAGCAGUCUUAUCCAGAUUAACCUCAUGUUAAUGGAAAGUAGCAUAUAUGUAAGACUUCCCUGUAUCAAAG